AGCAGCCUCAGCUCAGCACCUCGGAAAGCUCCGCGUCCUAGGGACAGAGCUUAGACUCCUCCAGGCUUUGCUCAGAGUCUCUCAGGGGCCUCUCCACCAGCCCAGCUAAGGAAAGGCCUGCUGAAGGAGCUUGAGAGGUGGGACAUGGCAGACUAAGUGUCAGGAGAUACUGCUCUUCAGAGAACCCAUCAUGUGGAACUAAGCCAAUGAGACCAGGGAUCUGUGCACCCAGAGAGGUGUCCGUGGGCCCAGGUGACAACCUUGGUCCUCCUUGGAUCCCCGCCCUGCCAGACCUCAUUCCCUAGGGAAGUAGUGCUCUCUUCUCUCCUCAGCAUCCCCCUUCAGACACGGAGCCAAACUCUAAACUCACCCAAUCCUAUUAACCAAGACUCGCUCCAGGGAGUUCACCGCUUCUGCCUCACCUUUCCGAGGCCUUGACGUUUCCACAGCAACAGAAUGAAGUCAGUAUGAGGUGUGACAGGAACAGGAGAAGCAACCCCUGCACUCAGCAAGGUCCUUGUCUUAAAAUGAAAGCAGUUUCACAGCUGGUAAUGAUUGUGCAGCCGGAUCCCCAUGCGGGACUCCUAAAUCGGGAGCAGGGGCUGUCUCCGACUACACUGCCUGCCUUUGGGUCCCUUCCCCUAACUGGGCUGCCUGGUCUGGCCUCAGUAGAAGUAAUGCCUAGUCUUACUUCGACUUAAUAUGCCAAGGCUGGCUGAUAUCCAUGGGAGACCUCCCCUUUUCUGAGGAGAAGGGAAGAAGGGAAGGGGAGAGGGGGAAAUGGAAGGUGAAGCUGCGAUCCAGAUGUAAAUGAGUUACUUAAUAAAAAAGAAAGAA
rnacentral:lncRNA from 1 species